rnacentral:rRNA from 1 species
GACGAACGCUGGCGGCGUGCCUAAUACAUGCAAGUAGAACGCUGAAGGAGGAGCUUGCUCUUCUGGAUGAGUUGCGAACGGGUGAGUAACGCGUAGGUAACCUGCCUGGUAGUGGGGGAUAACUAUUGGAAACGAUAGCUAAUACCGCAUAAUAACAGUUGUUGCAUGACAACUGUUUGAAAGGUGCAAUUGCAUCACUACCAGAUGGACCUGCGUUGUAUUAGCUAGUUGGUGGGGUAACGGCUCACCAAGGCGACGAUACAUAGCCGACCUGAGAGGGUGAUCGGCCACACUGGGACUGAGACACGGCCCAGACUCCUACGGGAGGCAGCAGUAGGGAAUCUUCGGCAAUGGACGAAAGUCUGACCGAGCAACGCCGCGUGAGUGAAGAAGGGUUUCGGAUCGUAAAGCUCUGUUGUAAGAGAAGAACGAGUGUGAGAGUGGAAAGUUCACACUGUGACGGUAUCUUACCAGAAAGGGACGGCUAACUACGUG